ACUGAAGAAACCCGCCGGCUGCUGGGGCAGGGCGGCGAAAGGUCAGUCGGCCGAGAGGAGUCCGUGGAGCCACCGUUUCAUAGCCUCAGGGAAAGGAUCGGGCGUGCUCACGAGCCCUCUAACCCAUGGCUUAAACACCCGCUUCCUAAGCCUGGUUCCUGAAUAUAUCACAUGUGGUGAUAAACAUGAAGAUGUAUGAAAAAUUGUGUUCGUUGAGAGAAAAUGGAAGGCUUUUCAUUCUACUUCCACAUUUUCAUUCCAGCAGCUUUUCUGUUUUGGAAGAUGAGUACUGAAUCUUGCAAUGAAAUUUUUUUAACUUAAACAAGGUUCUUAUGCCUUUGUUUGAAAAACAUGGUUCCCUGUGAAAUUUUACAUGUAGAAGAAAGCUUCACACUACGAGAGCUCUCAGGAUAUAAUUAUUUCAGACAGAUACUGGGAACAUAAGAUGGCUUAUCAAUCUAAGAUGGCCUUCCUGUCCUUCGGAUUGAACUGAAACCAUCCCUGAUUCCAGGGAUAGGUAGAUGAUCCAGGUUUGGACAAUCAAAAUAUUGAACCACCCUGGACCUACAAGUGUUUCUGGGAUGGGAACAUGCAAACGUUGGUCCAAAUUGUUGUUCUAGGCAGCCCAGUACAUUUCUCCAAUGCCUGAUGGAAUGAUAGGGUAUGCAUAAAUGUUCAUGUGGGCUCUGGAGUAUACCAGGAACUGAAGUAAGGUACAUGGACGUCUUGAAUAUUGUAACUGAGAUGGGCAAGCCUACACCUUUGCAAAUAAAGGAGGAUUGGGAAAGAUUAAGCCUCUCAAGCACUGUGAAAAAUCACUUUCUCUUGUUGUAUUCUUGGAGCCCCUGCUAAUUCAUUAUUGAAAAAUACCUGCUGCCUGCAUUUGGCCUUAUGUUGUCAUUUACUUGGGUCUGUGCAUGGCGUUUAGAAGGCUACACCUUAGGCUGGGGGUCAAGAAUGUCUUCCCUGAUGUGAGGUUUACACAGAGAUCUGAAGAAUGAAGAGUCCAGCUAAGUUAAGUGGGAGCGGAUUAAGGGAAUGCAAGGACAUGAAAGAGUGUCCUAGGCAGAGGGAACAACAUAUACAAAGGCCCUGAGGUGGGAGUGAACAAGGAACUGAGAGAAGAACUGAGAGAAGGCCACUGUGGAAAGCCAGAUGCUGUGUGACAUGAAUAAUGGGACACAGGAAAUUGAGAUAUUAGCAAAAGAGAGAUUGAUGACCCAUAGGCUUGAAGAUGUACUGGAACUAAAGUAAGGGGCGAGGAUAAAUAAAAAGAGGGAGAAAUUGGAGAAACAGAGUGCUUGGAAGCCCUGAUGAAUUUGAGGAAAAGGAUGGUGAUAGAGUUGACCUAGCCAGCUAGAAGAGUAGUACUUUUUAGUCAGUGAGCCCUCCAUCCCAUUUCUCAUUAAUUCUUGUAACACUUUCUCACUUCCUAUAUUCUGUCAUAUUUUAUAGUUGUUUAUAUAAUUAUCUUAU
rnacentral:lncRNA from 10 species